UACGGAGGGUGCAAACGUUGCUCGGAAUCAUUGGGCGUAAAGCGCACGUAGGCGGUCCGGUAAGUCGGAUGUGAAGUCCCUCGGCUCAACCGAGGAAGGGCAUCCGAAACUGCCGGGCUUGAGUACGGAAGAGGGUCUCGGAAUUCCCGGUGUAGAGGUGAAAUGCGUAGAUAUCUGGAGGAAUACCGGUGGCGAAGGCGGCAUCCUGGACCGACAUUGACGCUGAGGAGCGAAAGCUAGGGGAGCAAACGGG
rnacentral:rRNA from 1 species